CCCUUAGAUGUUCUGGGCCGCACGCGCGCUACACUGAUGCAUUCAACGAGCACUCGCUUGGCCGAGAGGUCAGGCUAAUCUUUGAACGUGCAUCGUGCUGGGGAUAGAUGAUUGCAAUUAUUCAUCUUCAACGAGGAAUUCCUAGUAAACGCAAGUCAUCAGCUUGCAUUGAUUACGUCCCUGCCCUUUGUACACACCGCCCGUCGCACCUACCGAUUGAACGGUCCGGUGAAAUCUUGGGAUUUGCUUUGCUUUCGUUUAUUCGAUGCUCGGCGAAGAACUUGAGUAAACCUUACCGUUUAGAGGAAGGUGAAGUCGUAACA
rnacentral:rRNA from 1 species